AAACCAACAGGGAUUGCCCCAGUAACGGCGAGUGAAGCGGCAAGAGCUCAAAUUUGAAAUCUGGCCUCCCCCGGGGGUCCGAGUUGUAAUUUGCAGAGGAUGCUUCGGGCGCGGCCCCCGUCUAAGUUCCUUGGAACAGGACGUCAGAGAGGGUGAGAAUCCCGUCUUGGGCGGGCGGCCCGCGCCCGUGUGAAGCUCCUUCGACGAGUCGAGUUGUUUGGGAAUGCAGCUCUAAGCGGGUGGUAAAUUUCAUCUAAAGCUAAAUACCGGCCGGAGACCGAUAGCGCACAAGUAGAGUGAUCGAAAGGUUAAAAGCACCUUGAAAAGGGAGUUAAACAGCACGUGAAAUUGUUGAAAGGGAAGCGCUUGCGGCCAGACUCGGGGGGCGGGGUUCAGCGGGCGUUCGUCGCCCGUGCACUGCCCGCUCCCCGGGCCAGCAUCAGCUUCGACGGCCGGUCAAAGGCCCCCGGAAUGUGUCGUCUCUAGGGACGUUUUAUAGCCGGGGGUGCAAUGCGGCCCGUCGAGACUGAGGAACGCGCUCCGGCUCGGAUGCUGGCGUAAUGGCCGUAAGCGGC
rnacentral:rRNA from 1 species